CGUUUGAGAGAUCGUGAGCUUUUGAAGAGAAAAAAAGAAGAGUCCCGGGAGAAAGAUACUUACCUUGAGCAAAACCAGACCAGAAGUAAACGUCCUCGACAAGCCAGGGGCGCUGGCAGCAGGAGAAGAAAGCAAGUUCAAGAACCUGAGCCACAGCUAGAGCCACAGCCUGAACCUGAACCAAACAAUGAACCAGAUCACAAAGAUGAGCAGGCCACUGAACCACAGCAUGAACCUGAAUCAAAGAAUGAUCCAGAUCACAAGCACGAGCAGGUCACUGAAUCGCAGUAUGAAUUUGAGCCUGAAAAUAAGUUAUGGAUAGGCCAUGAUGUCCAGCAAGAAUUCAGCCAGCAUGAGCAAGAACCUCUAGAGCAUCUAGAGCAUCAUGAAAAUCCAGGUAUAACAGAAACUGAAGGUGGAACUGCAGGUGAAACAUAUGCUGUACAUGAAGAGGCUGGUGGACACUUUCAGCAAGACCUCACCAUCUUAAUAACAGGUAAAGAGAAGGUGGCCGUGGUGGAACCUGAGCAACUUGGUCCACCUGAGGUUCUCAGCUUCCCUUUGCAAGUGACAUCCACUCCCGAGCAAGAGGAACAUCAAUACUACACUCCACUACUUUAAGUUUCUGCUUCUAAUGAUUUUUUAAACCAUUUGUAGACAAAAAAUAUUUCUUCUUGUGUUUAUAGGAUAAGGAAAUAUACUGAAUUUUCCACACUUGUUAGGUUUUGGAUCAAUGAAGUCUGUAAAUGUAGAAUUAACCUUGUGUGUUUAGUAAGACAUUUCUACCUAAGACUGACAGUUAUUACCACACACCUUCUUUAUGAUAUGUUGAAUAUUCAAUAAAUCG